UUGACGUGUGGCCGCCUUUUGGCCAAUAUCUGUUUGGAAAAGUGCUGCUUAACCCAGCAGCUUUCUUAAAAUAUCUGUUGUUGCAAACCACUCGCACUGUGUAUGGGUGAACCCCAAAGAUCUCAGAAAUGAAAGAAAAACAAGGCCAGUUUUGAGGAAGUUUCCAUAACCAGGCGUUAGGGUUAAACAGCUGGGCUCUAACAGCCUCCUCAAAAAGAAAAGGGGCCUCAGCAGCCAUACAAAUAGUUAUUUGAAACAAAUUCGCAGAAAAGCUACCAUUAUUCACACAUCACCAUCUUAAAUUGAGACAUCCGCUGACCAAUGUGACAUCUUUGCUUUGCAAACCAAAGAACUGGGACACUCAGGCUUAGUCUACAGAGAUAAGUUGACAUAAGGCAGCUUACAUUAACCUAGGAAUGUCGCAUCUACACUGCAGUGUUUUUCCCGCUGAUGUCACUUGCCGACUACGUUGACUUAAAACGCCACCUACAUGAGAGGCGUAGUGCUUAAGUCGAUGUAGUUAGGUCGACGCAGCACCCCUGCAGACACUGCGUUGCUUAUGUCAACUGAAUAUAAGCCCCACAACGCCCCACUGUAUAAGUCCCACAAUGCCCCACUGUGACUGCUUUGGUCACCAUUUUGAACUCCGCUGCCCAGCAGCCGGGUACACAGGAAUAAGCCCCUCCCCUAUUGAAGGACUGUAAUUGUUUUGAAUUUCCAUUUCCUGUUUGCUCAGGUGGAGCACUCACCUGGCAACUGCCCAGCUGAGCAGGCCGGCUACUUGCUCCAAACAUGUCCAACCUGUAGUACAGAGAAGGUGGUGGAUCUCCUGAGUCUGUGGGAGAAGAGGCUGUGCAGGCAUAGCUCUGAUCAAGCCAUAGAACUGUGGACAUCUACAAGCAGAUUGCUUGGGGCAUGGGGGAGAAAGGCUACAAGGGGGGCCCGCAGCAGUGCUGCAUGAACAUCAAGGAGUUGCGGCAGGUAUACCAGAAUGCAAGGGAGGCAAGCAGUCACUGCAGACAUGCUGCUUUUACAAGGAGCUGCAUGCUAUCCUCUGCAGUGACACCCCCUUCCCCAAGAGCCCCGGGGAUAUAUCAGAGGAGUCAGAAUCACAGGCCACUGCAGGCAACCCUGGGGAGGAAGUUUUGGACAAGGAAGAGGAGGAUGAGAAUGGGGGACAGGCGAGUGGGGGAAUCCAUUGUUGUGGCGAGCCAGGAGCUGUUUGUAACCCCGGAGCAGUCCAUCCAGUUGCAACACUCCAGCAUGGGCGAGCAUGAUGCGGGGCAAGGAACCUCUGGCUUUACCCUGCUCAUGACUCCUGGACACAUUCCCUUUGGACCUUUGUGAUGAUGGUCCACGUGCUUCCACUUUCUCAGCAACUUUCUGGUGAGGCUUCUGCUCUGCGUUCUCACCUGCUGACAUAAAGAGAGAAACCUCAGAAAGAGAGAUGGAGAAGGGGACAGCAAACCAAAGGUAACACCCGCAAGGUAGUUAUCCAGCACAUCUUGGAGGGACUAUUCAAAUUGAGUGGCCCAUCAAAAGGACACAACUCACAAUGGACCAUGGGAGACCUCAUCUAAACUGAACAGACUUUUAUGUGAACGUUCCAUCUGAAGUAUAGGUAAUGGCUUCUUGCAAUGGCUGAAUGAAAUUGGGCAUGGACGGGGAACUUGCCCAUGUGACUCCAAGAUCCCAACUUUCACCUGUGAUUUUCCACUAGCUGUGCUGAGGACUUUGAAACAAUGAGUUUCCCUCCACAUAGCAGACGCUAUAAGAGGCCUGGAAACAUCUCCACUGUGUCUCUAUCCUGCUCCAGCCUCUUUCCUGCUCAAACCUCUGGACUAUGGACUUAUACUAAUGGGAGCAUUCUA